AGAGUUUGAUCCUGGCUCAGGCCUAACACAUGCAAGUCGAGCGGAAACGAGUUAUCUGAACCUUCGGGGAACGAUAACGGCGUCGAGCGGCGGACGGGUGAGUAAUGCCUAGGAAAUUGCCCUGAUGUGGGGGAUAACCAUUGGAAACGAUGGCUAAUACCGCAUAAUGCCUACGGGCCAAAGAGGGGGACCUUCGGGCCUCUCGCGUCAGGAUAUGCCUAGGUGGGAUUAGCUAGUUGGUGAGGUAAGGGCUCACCAAGGCGACGAUCCCUAGCUGGUCUGAGAGGAUGAUCAGCCACACUGGAACUGAGACACGGUCCAGACUCCUACGGGAGGCAGCAGUGGGGAAUAUUGCACAAUGGGCGCAAGCCUGAUGCAGCCAUGCCGCGUGUGUGAAGAAGGCCUUCGGGUUGUAAAGCACUUUCAGUCGUGAGGAAGGUAGUGUAGUUAAUAGCUGCAUUAUUUGACGUUAGCGACAGAAGAAGCACCGGCUAACUCCGUGCCAGCAGCCGCGGUAAUACGGAGGGUGCGAGCGUUAAUCGGAAUUACUGGGCGUAAAGCGCAUGCAGGUGGUUUGUUAAGUCAGAUGUGAAAGCCCGGGGCUCAACCUCGGAAUAGCAUUUGAAACUGGCAGACUAGAGUACUGUAGAGGGGGGUAGAAUUUCAGGUGUAGCGGUGAAAUGCGUAGAGAUCUGAAGGAAUACCGGUGGCGAAGGCGGCCCCCUGGACAGAUACUGACACUCAGAUGCGAAAGCGUGGGGAGCAAACAGGAUUAGAUACCCUGGUAGUCCACGCCGUAAACGAUGUCUACUUGGAGGUUGUGGCCUUGAGCCGUGGCUUUCGGAGCUAACGCGUUAAGUAGACCGCCUGGGGAGUACGGUCGCAAGAUUAAAACUCAAAUGAAUUGACGGGGGCCCGCACAAGCGGUGGAGCAUGUGGUUUAAUUCGAUGCAACGCGAAGAACCUUACCUACUCUUGACAUCCAGAGAACUUUCCAGAGAUGGAUUGGUGCCUUCGGGAACUCUGAGACAGGUGCUGCAUGGCUGUCGUCAGCUCGUGUUGUGAAAUGUUGGGUUAAGUCCCGCAACGAGCGCAACCCUUAUCCUUGUUUGCCAGCGAGUAAUGUCGGGAACUCCAGGGAGACUGCCGGUGAUAAACCGGAGGAAGGUGGGGACGACGUCAAGUCAUCAUGGCCCUUACGAGUAGGGCUACACACGUGCUACAAUGGCGCAUACAGAGGGCAGCAAGCUAGCGAUAGUGAGCGAAUCCCAAAAAGUGCGUCGUAGUCCGGAUUGGAGUCUGCAACUCGACUCCAUGAAGUCGGAAUCGCUAGUAAUCGUGGAUCAGAAUGCCACGGUGAAUACGUUCCCGGGCCUUGUACACACCGCCCGUCACACCAUGGGAGUGGGCUGCAAAAGAAGUAGGUAGUUUAACCUUCGGGAGGACGCUUACCACUUUGUGGUUCAUGACUGGGGUGAAGUCGUAACAAGGUADC
rnacentral:rRNA from 1 species